rnacentral:rRNA from 1 species
UACGUAGGGGGCAAGCGUUGUCCGGAAUCAUUGGGCGUAAAGAGCGUGUAGGCGGCCCGAUAAGUCCGCCGUGAAAGCCCAGGGCUCAACCCUGGGAUGCCGGUGGAUACUGUCGGGCUAGAAUCCGGAAGAGGCGAGUGGAAUUCCUGGUGUAGCGGUGAAAUGCGCAGAUAUCAGGAGGAACACCGAUGGCGAAGGCAGCUCGCUGGGACGUUAUUGACGCUGAGACGCGAAAGCGUGGGGAGUAAACAGG